GAUGAACGCUGGCUACAGGCUUAACACAUGCAAGUCGAGGGGAAACGACGGGGAAGCUUGCUUCCCCGGGCGUCGACCGGCGCACGGGUGAGUAACGCGUAUCCAACCUGCCUCUGACUGAGGGAUAACCCGUCGAAAGUCGGCCUAAUACCUCAUGGCAUCGUCUGCGGGCAUCCAACGACGAUUAAAGAUUUCAUCGGUCAGAGAUGGGGAUGCGUCUGAUUAGCUUGUUGGCGGGGUAACGGCCCACCAAGGCGACGAUCAGUAGGGGUUCUGAGAGGAAGGUCCCCCACAUUGGAACUGAGACACGGUCCAAACUCCUACGGGAGGCAGCAGUGAGGAAUAUUGGUCAAUGGGCGAGAGCCUGAACCAGCCAAGUAGCGUGCAGGAUGACGGCCCUAUGGGUUGUAAACUGCUUUUAUGCGGGGAUAAGGUGAGGGACGUGUCCUUCAUUGCAGGUACCGCAUGAAUAAGGACCGGCUAAUUCCGUG
rnacentral:rRNA from 1 species